AUCUUCCUCAGAAGACGUGCAGGAAGAGAGUGUGGCUGGGAACCAAGUGUCAGAUGGAGCUGUGAGGCAGAUGUCGUCAAACACAGUUACUGCUGUGCCAAAUGGAAUGAGAGAAAAUCCCCUGGAGGAACCUCAUCUUGGAUUGUGAAUUAGACGGAAUCCCCAGUGUUGUCUUCAAGUAUUAAACCAUGCACAGAUGUGUAAGCAAGACUGUGAGAAGAGGAUAAAGAACACAGAGCAUAUCAGAGUUUGGAGUAAAGAAGGAAUGAAGUGUUCUAUUUCAGGAUGAGAUCUAAUGCCCCUGAAGACUUAGAAACUGAGAGGCAAGUAUGUUGAGUGACAAUUG
rnacentral:lncRNA from 1 species